rnacentral:rRNA from 1 species
UACGUAGGGGGCAAGCGUUGUCCGGAUUUAUUGGGCGUAAAGAGCGUGUAGGCGGUUAUACAGGUCCGCUGUGAAAACUGGAGGCUUAACCUCCAGACGUCGGUGGAAACCGUAUGACUAGAGUCCGGAAGAGGAGAGUGGAAUUCCUGGUGUAGCGGUGAAAUGCGCAGAUAUCAGGAAGAACACCCGUGGCGAAGGCGGCUCACUGGCCCGGUACUGACGCUGAGGUGCGAAAGCGUGGGGAGCAAACAGG